UGGAAGUAAAAAGUGGUAACAAGGUUUCCGUAGGUAGAGUUUUGCCUACUACAGCGGCCCUUGGCCUGCUAGUCUCCCAGCGAGGCGACACGCUCAAUGUGCGGAGAGCCCUCCCCCGAGGAGGCAAUCCGCAGUGGCCGGCGCGGCCAUUCAGAGACUCAAUGAGCGUGGGUUCAGCGCGGCUGAGCUUGAGAUAGAGCCCGUCCCUGCCGGCAACGGCGGGGAGGAAACGGAACCUGCGGAAGGAUCAUUA
rnacentral:rRNA from 1 species